GACGAACGCUGGCGGCGUGCUUAACACAUGCAAGUCGAACGGAAAGGCCCGGCUUUUGUUGGGUGCUCGAUUGGCGAACGGGUGAGUAACACGUGAGUAACCUGCCCUUGACUUUGGGAUAACUUCAGGGAACUGGGGCUAAUACCGGAUAGGAGCUCCUGCUGCAUGGUGGGGGUUGGAAAGUUUCGGCGGUUGGGGAUGGACUCGCGGCUUAUCAGCUUGUUGGUGGGGUAGUGGCUUACCAAGGCUUUGACGGGUAGCCGGCCUGAUAGGGUGACCGGCCACAUUGGGACUGAGAUACGGCCCAGACUCCUACGGGAGGCAGCAGUGGGGAAUAUUGCACAAUGGGCGGAAGCCUGAUGCAGCAACGCCGCGUGCGGGAUGACGGCCUUCGGGUUGUAAACCGCUUUCGCCUGUGACGAAGCGUGAGUGACGGUAAUGGGUAAAGAAGCACCGGCUAACUACGUG
rnacentral:rRNA from 1 species